rnacentral:lncRNA from 1 species
AGCAGGUUCUAUCUUAGGCAAAGUCAGGUUCGCGGCUAAGAAAUGAAGAUAGUUCUUGCAAAAAGUAAUGACCUUAUCCAUAUUGGUCUAUGAGUAGCGGUUGAUGGGGUUGUCCAUUAGGGGUAGGUCCAUGGACCAGCAUUCAGGGGCCCACCUAGGGCCCCGCACAAGCAUUAGUGUCCACAAGGCUAUCGGCUCAGUCUCGGCCUCACUCGGGAAAACAGAUUCUCAAUCAGAAACACAGGAUCAUUCAGACCAUCUUCGGUCAGUCAGAUGUGCCCUGACACUCGGACUAUAGCAAGACAUGGAUGAGGAAGAGACUACAACAACAAGAGGGUCAAUCUACCACUUAGGAGUAAUGCCAAAGUUAAAGUUGUUGUUAUUAGUAUCUUUCGAAGUUAUUAGCAUUAACUUGCCUUGAUACGACGCUCAACGGAUCUAAACACACU